UUCUAGGCAUAAUCGAAUUCAACAUAAAAUACAUUCGUAAGGUUUAUCUAAGCAUAUCCAAGUAUUUUGAAAUAUGUGAGAUGAUUCAAUAACAGCGGCAGAUGGUGUUUAAAUUAUAAUAUAUUCAAUAGUUGUAUAUAAUGAAGUAGAGGAUUGAAUUCAAAAAUAUCACACCUCAAAACAAUUUAUGAUCUACAUCCAUAAAACCUAAUAAUGAAACAUCUGCCCUGCCUAAAGGAUGGCUUUGAUACUUUAUGACUCCCUAUCUAUCCUAAUGUAUAAAUAAGGAUUAUUCACGUAGAAUAAGGACAGUCAGUUUUCAUCAAUCUAAGAGUUGUCUCUUCGGAUCCGCGACUCUAAGAUAUCAAAUAAUAUUUAUAAAAAGAACUUGUAAUAAUUUUUUAAUAAAAAAAACUUGUAACAAUUUUGUGU